rnacentral:lncRNA from 1 species
AAUAAGUCAACAAGACCAAAAUGGUCUGUUGAUCCCUUUAGGAGUUAUUGUCCUUUAUAGUCAAUUUUUAACCAUUUUUCGUAAAUCUUAGUUAUCUUUUACAAAAAUCUUCUCCUCUGAAACUACUGGGUCAAAUUAAACCAAACUUGGCCACAAUCAUCAUUGGGGUAUCUAGUUUAAAAAUUGUGUCCGAUGACCCGGCCAACCAACCAAGAUGGCCAC